AUUGAACGCUGGCGGCAGGCUUAACACAUGCAAGUCGAACGCCCCGCAAGGGGAGUGGCAGACGGGUGAGUAACACGUGGGAACGUACCCUUUGGUUCGGAAUAACUUGGGGAAACUCAAGCUAAUACCGGAUAAGCCCUUAUGGGGAAAGGUUUACUGCCGAAGGAUCGGCCCGCGUCUGAUUAGCUAGUUGGUGAGGUAAUGGCUCACCAAGGCGACGAUCAGUAGCUGGUCUGAGAGGAUGAUCAGCCACACUGGGACUGAGACACGGCCCAGACUCCUACGGGAGGCAGCAGUGGGGAAUAUUGGACAAUGGGGGCAACCCUGAUCCAGCCAUGCCGCGUGAGUGAUGAAGGCCUUAGGGUUGUAAAGCUCUUUUACCCGGGACGAUAAUGACUGUACCGGGAGAAUAAGCCCCGGCUAACUUCGUGCCAGCCGCCGCGGUAA
rnacentral:rRNA from 1 species